rnacentral:rRNA from 1 species
ACGCUGGCGGCAUGCCUAACACAUGCAAGUCGAACGGCAGCACAGCAGUAGCAAUACUGUGGGUGGCGAGUGGCGGACGGGUGAGUAAUGCAUCGGGACCUACCUAGACGUGGGGGAUAACGUAGGGAAACUUACGCUAAUACCGCAUACGUCCUACGGGAGAAAGCAGGGGACCUUCGGGCCUUGCGCGGUUAGACGGACCGAUGUUCGAUUAGCUUGUUGGUGAGGUAAUGGCUCACCAAGGCGACGAUCGAUAGCUGGUCUGAGAGGAUGAUCAGCCACACUGGAACUGAGACACGGUCCAGACUCCUACGGGAGGCAGCAGUGGGGAAUAUUGGACAAUGGGCGCAAGCCUGAUCCAGCAAUGCCGCGUGUGUGAAGAAGGCCUUCGGGUUGUAAAGCACUUUUAUCAGGAGCGAAAUACUACCGGCUAAUACCCGGUGGGGCUGACGGUACCUGGGGAAUAAGCACCGGCUAACUUCGUGCCAGCAGCCGCGGUAAUACGAAGGGUGCAAGCGUUAAUCGGAAUUACUGGGCGUAAAGCGUGCGUAGGCGGUU